rnacentral:lncRNA from 1 species
CCUCCUCCUCCUCCUCCUCCUCCACACAUACACAGACCUCGAGAGAGUGUGAAAGGCGAAGAACAACGCGUCGUUGGGAUCUACUCUACUCUAAGAUCAAUGUUGGAGCGUCUCGAGGAUCUGAAAACCCAAACUCAAGCUUGGAUCUUCAUCUCCGACCUCCAUAGGCGUCGGCGACUCACAGGUGGUCUGACCGGAAUGCCGAGCAACGAUGACGGGGAAGGCAAAGCCGAAGAAGCAUGUGGCAAUGGAGAUCCAGGUGAAGAUCGACGCGUCUACAACAAAUCGCCGAAGCGGGAAGGUCGGAAUCGCUGACCGGACCGAGUAGGAAAACGGCGGACACGCCAAGUACGAGUGCCCUCACUCCAAGAUAACGGCGUUGGACGUAACGUCGAGGCACCACGACUCGAAGCAUCCGAAGAAUCUAAGAUGUCCAACUGAAAAGAAUUGGCCCAAAAUGGUACCGUGGUGUUCGCCGGC